ensembl:snoRNA Small nucleolar RNA SNORD2
GUAUGAAAUGAUGGUAUUCCAUCUUUCGGGACUGACAUGUCAUGGAGAAGCUUUUUAACUUUACUGAUCAUAU